CGCACGCACGAACCGGGCGCUGAUCAGGCUCAUAACCUGAAGGUCAUAGGUUCAAAUCCUAUCCCCGCAACCA
rnacentral:tRNA from 3 species